rnacentral:lncRNA from 1 species
AUAAAAUAUUCUUAGUGUGUGUUUAGUCAUACUUAUAUUGUCUAAUGAUAAGAUCAUUACUUUUCAAUCAGGUCAUUUUUACAGUAAACACUUAAGCAUUAUCAAAUUAUAAACGGUUCAAAUAUUUCUAAACAUGUAUUUCGAUUUCAAUUCAAAGUUUCCAAUAUUUUUAUAGCAAACAUUAAAAACUAAUCUAGGACUGCAACAUGAAGCUGAUUAUUUCAUGGAUCUGUAUACUCUCAGUAACUUCUGCAGCAUAUGGUGAAAAAGAAUGUAGAACGUCUUCUGGCAAAUGUGAAUUUCCGUUCGUUUAUUCUGGGACGCAUAGUAUUUGUACUCAAAGUGGUUCAAAGGAUGAACCUACACCUUAGUGUUACCAGGGAUCUGAUAGUUGUGAGUGGAUAUCAUCAUUAUGUGUUGUAAAAUUGGAGUAUUACCCCACUCAGGAAGAGGAACGAUCAGGAACACCCUCAAGACUUUAUCCAUAAGUCAAUAAAGUUACUCUUACAGGAAAUGGACGAUGGGUAAGUACUUCAGAGUCGUCACUCGAAAGAAGGAUGAAAGAUAUAAAAUUUUACUCCUUGCUCUCUACUCAGUCUGGGGGCAGACAUUUCCUCAUAGAUGGGAUAGACGAUGCCUUCAAUAAGGAAGGGAUCUUUGUAGUACUCGUUUCGUUUUUAGAAGCGUAUAAAUUCAGACAAGACUCUGGCACUUUGGAUUUUCAUACAUAACAUAAUAUUAAUAUAGCUCUUGCUCCUCACUGAUUCACUAAGAAUAAUCUUUAUUGGAUAAUCAUGACUAACAAAAUCAAUCGUCAGAAGAAGUCAAGAAAGAAAGGUUCAUUUUAUGAACUCUCAAACUACUAACAAAUCCUUCGAUUCAAUGACUACGUGUUUGAUCUAUUCAUCUCUCAAGGAUCGGCUCAAGUAUAGACUUCACUUAUGCUUUAUGAUCAUCAUAAUAGUCGAUGUUUAUUUAAUAAAUAUUGAGCAUGGAUGCUCAAAGUUCUUCACUUUUAGUUGACCCCUGGGUACUGUUAGACACCUUAAUAUACACUUACCUUUUCAUUCUAGAUAUACUUUGUUUUGACAUCUGGAAGAAAAUGACAUCAACUUUCAGCUGUAUUGCAUUCAAACUAAUUCUGCCACCCAUAUGAAGAAGAGUCUUCGAUGAGCACGCGGAAACGUGGUUACUUUACUCAAAAAUUAAAGAAUAAUGACAAAUGUUAUGGAAAAUAAAGGAUUCAGUUUGCCAACCAUAAAAAGUUUCACACGCAAAUGUUUUUACUAAUUAAUGACAUAACACAUAGUCUACUCCUAUUAAUGUUCUUGUAUAUAAAAAUAUAAUCUUUAUUUUGUGAUACUCAAUACAAAAAAUUCCAUUGACUCAGUAACAGCAAAAAUAAUACAUUUAAAAUAACAAAACAUCUAUCAGCAUGGCUAAUCAUUUUUUUUGAAAAUGAAAUGGAGCUAGCAUGUCCUGAAACACAUUGCAUAUCCUCACGAAGAUCUGUUAAUGGUUUUUCUUCUAUACACUCUAUUGAACGAAUCAUGUUCCGAACAUUGAUUCCAUUCUCAAUAGGACUUAUAUGCAGUUGAAGAGCUUCUCUCAUCCAACGACGAAGCCAAAUUCCAAGCCAUACAUUCUCACAUGAACACAGCCAUGGAUUGUUUUGUAAGGACAGACCACCUAUAUAUGUGACAAAAAAUAUAUCGUUUUGAGGUAUCAAACAAACAAC